GCCGGAGUGGCGAAAUUGGCAGACGCACUGGACUCAAAAUCCAGCGGGACCUUGGUUCCAUGUGGGUUCGACUCCCUCCUCCGGCACCA
rnacentral:tRNA from 1 species